rnacentral:lncRNA from 10 species
CAAGCAACAACCACUACACAAAAACCUAUGGCGCUUCUUGGGUUGGGAUUUUGAGAUUGAACCCUAGGCGUUUCCUAAGCAAAACGACCUCCCCAAGGCUUCUGAAGAGAAGGAGACAUGAGGGAUGGAUUUGGGUACCAACACUCAUCACAAAUCCUUAUCAGAUACCUCAAUGGGCUGCUGCCUCUAUCUGCAUGGUCUUCCUCUGGUACUGGAACCAUGUGAUAUAAAUUGCUGGUGAAUAAGUAUCUUGCUUAUAGAAACUCAGGCACCAACUGGAAGACCUAAAGGCUGUGGGUCAACUCCACCUGCAUCUAUGACAGCACAGCUCUAUAAACAAUGUUUAUAUGUUUUUAUUCAGAAAACAAAGAUAUCUCUAAUUUAAAAAAAGUUUAAAAGCUUAAAGAAGAAUGUUAUCUUUAAAAAAAUAUUUAUUUAUUGGCAUGAGUUAAGAAUUACCCAAAUUUCUUUUACAUACCUAUAAAAGUGAUAUAAUUUGUUUUCUUUAAAUUACUAAUUUAUUGUGUAAUAUUUAUGAAUUGUUAAAUAUUGCAUUGGGAUUGCAUUCACAAUUUGAUUUAUUACUUUCCUAUUAUAUUGCUUAAUUUAGAGUAGUUUAUUUAGAUUGUCAUAUCUAUAGCUAACUACAAUCAAUUCACUUCUACUUUUGUAAAACUUCAGCAGCUCUGGGGAUUGAGUUGGCCAUUGCCUUAUAGUUAUGACGGGUAACUAUCUUUUUGACCCAUGACUUGGAAUGAAUAAUUGACACUGAAAUUGCUAAAGAAUAAUGUGGAAAAUCCCUCUCACACUGUUCACCUUCAUUGCUGUGGAUAAUCUUUAACAACUUUAUUUUCUCAGUUGCUCUGUUCAGGUUUUUUACCUCUUACUAUGUUAAUUUUGAUGUUAGUUUUGCUGUUAUUGUAGUACUUGUUGGACUGUUUUAUGGAACAUGAUCCCUUUCAUUGCUAUUUCUAACUUGAUUACAAAACUGUGAGAGAAAUCCAUUAUGAUUUAAUCAUUUUAUCCAUUAUGAUGUAUGAUAUACCCUAUGUAAUGGCGAU